UACUGACCUAGCAUAGAAAGUGCUGGGAGGUAGCCACUAAGCAUGCACCUUUGCUGCACUAUCUUGAGCAUGUAUUUCCAUAGUAUAUACCUUCUUGACUUUGCUAAUGCUAUGUUCUUUAAACUUUAUGUAAAAGCAAUUUUCCCUUAAGUUUUGGUGUGAUACAAUUAUUUGGCAUCACUGGAAAGCAUUUUCAACUUCAUCUAGUCCUCACAAAUUCUAAUGAAAACUAAAAUUAAUUGUUGGAGGAGUCAACUCUCUACCAUCUUCUAAAAACUACCAGUAAUAAAUUGCAAUAAAUAUUCA
rnacentral:lncRNA from 1 species